GGCCUCUUGCAACCCACAAAUAAGAGGUCCAACCUGCCCAGUGACGAUAAGUUCAACGGCCGCGGUAUUUUAACCGUGCUAAGGUAGCGUAAUCACUUGUCUUUUAAAUGAAGACCCGUAUGAAAGGUGUCACGAGGGCCCACCUGUCUCCUACUUCAAGUCUGUGAAAUUGAUCUGCCCGUGCAGAAGCGGGCAUAACAACAUAAGACGAGAAGACCCUGUGGAGCUUAAGACCAAUCAAUCAACCGUGCCUACCAGCCAACCCACCCUAGCAGGAAAUAAAAAGCUAACCAAGCAUAACGAAUUAUGAUUAAAUGUCUUCGGUUGGGGCGACCAUGGAGGACAGAAAAGCCUCCAAGAGGAAGCAGGGGACCAGCUUAAUUGAUCCCUAAGAGCUAAGAGCCACCACUCUAAGCAACAGAAAACUCUGACCAAUAAUGAUCCAGACACUAGCCUGAUCAACGAACCAAGUUACCCCAGGGAUAACAGCGCAAUCCUUUCUCAGAGCCCAUAUCGCCGAAAGGGUUUACGACCUCGAUGUUGGAUCAGGACAUCCUGGUGGCGAAAAUUCUACCAAGGGUUCGUUUGUUCAACGAUUAAAGUCCU
rnacentral:rRNA from 1 species